ACAAGGGCGGCGCCAUUUCGCUCAUUUUGUCAACGUUCUUCCGGCCGCAUAGACGAUGAGCAGCUGAGGCAGUGACUGAAGGCGACACGUUAAGCUUAAAAAGCUCACUCGAGCGCCUUUAUGUUUCUUUCUUACCAAUUUUAAGCCAGCUGAGAAACACCCAUAUCCCAAGAAUGGUUCGACUACGAUGUUCUGGUAACUUUAAACCACGCCGGGUGUUGAAAAGGUGGCCAGAUUCAGAUGCAUUGAUGUGUAGUGAUGCAGUGGACAACUGUGAGGAUGAUACAAUCAACAUGUUCCUAAACUGUGAUGCAGAAACACAAUGGGAGGAUCCGUCGUCUCUGACCACAACUACACUUUAAAAUCACAACUCAACCUGAAGCAACCUACAUCUGAUAUGGGAAAACAAUGGUGCGGUUUCCCAGACAGGGCUUAUCCUGGUCCCAGGCUAAAAUGCAUAUUUGAGCUACAAUAAUUUAAAAACACCUUUUACUGACAUACAUCAACAUAUAUGAGUGCCAUUGUUUUGUCACAAGAUGCGCACCAGUCUUGUUUUUUUGUAGGGUUUCUUUGUAAAAACUAAAAUGUCCUAAUAUAAUUAAAUUCUAGUCCUGUAAACCCUGUCCGAGAAACUGCUUCAAUGUGUUGAGCUGGCACAAAUGUACAUAUCUCUGCUGAGAAACAACCAUCUUUGUGUCAGCUUUACAGAGGGUUGAUAUUGCAUCCAUUACACAGUCACCAAGCACUUUACCAGUACAUACACCAACAGCUUCCAGAUAAACACUUGGGAUCAGCUCCUGAUGACUCAGAUAAAGCUGUGUCUUAAUUUAUUGCAGGGUGGUCUUGCUUUACCUGUUGUAAAGUUACAUUAAACCUUCAUAUGUGAUCAGAUGUCAUGCAGUGAUAUUAAACAUUUACAGUGUGAUCAGAUGUUGUGCAUUUAUAUUAAACCUUUACAAUGUGAUCAGAUGUUGUGCAUUUAUAUUAAACCUUUACAAUGUGAUCAGAUGUUGUGCAAUUAUAUUAAACCUUUACAAUGUGAUCAGAUGUUGUGCAUUUACUGUAUAUUAAACCUUUACAAUGUGAUCAGAUGUUGUGCAUUUAUAUUAAACCUUUACAAUGUGA